rnacentral:rRNA from 1 species
GCUUACGGCCAUGCCACCCUGAAUGCGCCCGAUCUCGUCUGAUCUCGGAAGCUAAGCAGGGUCAGGCCUGGUUAGUACUUCGAUGGGAGACCGCCUGGGAAUACCAGGUGCUGUAUGCU